rnacentral:lncRNA from 1 species
AGUCGAAGUGAAUUCGCCGCACGCGACAGUUGUGUGCGUUUGGCAGUGCCCAAGUGUCAUUGUAUUGUUUGAACUCUUCCAACACACAAAACAUAUUUAGUAGGCGCCACUUCACAGUAUUACGAACAAUACUUCUAACACGACUCAUGGUCUGGUUCGUCGAUCGGCGAAUACCAAACACUGUGUGCCAUUUAAGUCUUGAUACACCAGCUGAUAUAAACCAAGCCAAUCGCGAUCCUUAUUAUGACCUUGAUUUUUAAUAUAAAUCAAUAGGGUUGGAGCACAGGAAGGUCUAGUACAUAAUCUGAAAAUGUGUUCGCAACGACGGAAGCAUGUUGUUCUUAUCCUUGAUAACUAUUACUGUAGCACUAUCAUCAUUUCUUUCAUUUGAGGAAUAAAAUAUCCAUGUUU